GGGCUUGGGUAGCUCAAUUAGGUCUAGCGGUUGAUCAAACCGAAUUAAGAGUUGGUUAGGUGGGAUCAUGAAAGCUAAUAAUUAACCAGCCUAAUAGGAUUAAGUCUGGGUCAAGGUCGAAUCACAUUUGGAUGUGACUCGAUUAAGUUAAGACCUAAUUUGGCUCAGUGGUUAGAGCCUGGAUUGUAGGCUAACCCAAUUAGUUCUGGUUCGAUAAUUUGGUAUCUAAGGUAAGUUGGGC
rnacentral:lncRNA from 1 species